CAUCAGACAUACCAGAAGAGGGCAACAGAUCUCAUUACAGAUGGUUGUAAGCCACCAUGUGGUUGCUGGGAAUUGAACUCAAGACUUCUGGAAGAGAGGUUGGUGCUCAUCUAUCCAGCCCCCAAGUGAAAGUUUCUAAUCCAGCCAAUUGAGAAUAUACACAGCUACAGAGGAGACUUUAUGCAAGCAAGCAGUUUAACAGAAGAUAAGAUAAGCAGCUAGCUGGAGAGGGAGGUUUGCACAAGUUUGCAGUUUCACAGAACCUAAGAUCUGCUGUAAAUGUCUAUCCAGUACCUGCAUAGAUGUGACACCACUAAGAGAUGUAGCAGUGAUGGGUCCAAGGAACUGGGAAGGAUAGAGUUCUGGGGUUUCCAUGGUGUUGAAUGAAAAGAUCAGGAUUGGAGAGGGCAAUGCUGACUGACUCCCUGGGAUGGAUGGUGUCUUAGUCAGGGUUUCUACUCCUGCACAAACAUCAUGACCAAGAAGCAAGUUGAGGAAGAAAGGGGUUAUUCGGCUUACACUUCCAUGCUGCUGUUCAUCACCAAAGGAAGUCAGGACUGGAACUCAAGCAAAGCAAGAAGCAGGAGCUGAUGCAGAGGCCAUGGAGGGAUGUUACUUACUGGCUUGCUUCCCCUGGCUUGCUCAACUUGCCUACUUAUAGAGCCCAAGACUACCAUCCCAGGGAUGGUACCACCCACAAGGGGCCCUCCUCUUGAUCACUAAUGGAGAAAAUGCCUUACAGCUGGAUCUCAUGGAGGCAUUUCCUCAACUGAAGCUCCUUUCUCUGUGGUAACUCCAGCUUGUGUCAAGUUGACAUACAGCCAGCCAGUACAGAUGGGCUGCAAUGAUUUUACUGUGGACUCAACUUGCUGUAAGGUCUCCUGUCACAAGUAAGUUUAAGCUGCUAUUGAAGGGAGCUGGUCUGAGGAAGGCCAGAUGUUUGGGAGACACUGAGGUCUCCCACCAAAAGUCUAACACUCUUUCUUAGCCAGGCAGCAGUUUAGUACUUCCCAUGUGCUGGCUGCCCAAGAGAUUCUCAAGAACCCACGAGGCCAGAGAGUUAACACCAUGGGCAGCACCCUCCUGGGUCUUAGAAGGCCUGGAGAGGCAGCUAAGAAAAAUUCCUGUCAGAGGGACACAUCUAGGAAUGGGUAAGAACAAUGCUGAUGGUAUGUCAGCAGCUGCCAGAAAGACAAAAGGUUUGAUUCUUUCUGGCUUCUUUAGAAAAACCUGAAAAUUCCAUUCCUUUAAGAUAUCAAUUGCCCACUGUAGGCACUGUCCCUUUUCCUUUUAAGAAUUGAUUCCAACUUCAAAUUAACAUGUAGUGAUUGCACAUAUUUAUGGGGUACAGAGUAGUGUUUCGAUACACACACACGCAUGUGUUUGUGUGUGUGUGUGUGUGUGAGAGAGAGAGAGAGAGAGAGGGAGAGAGAGAGAGAGAGAGAGAGAGAGAGAGAGUCUGAUAGGUACCUGGAGCACCCAUCAUCUCAAAACACUUGAGAGAGCCAACUUACAAAGAGAAACUUGUUGGCCUGGUUCACAGUUUUGGAGAUCUCAGCCCAUGAUCAGCUGGCCCCAUUGCUUUGGGCCUCUGGAAAGACAGCAUAUCCUUGUGGGUAGUAUUUGCAGGGAAAACUGUUCAUCUCAUGACCAGGAAGUAAGAAAGAGAACUGGGAGAAACCAGGGCCCACAAUUCCUCUCAGGCACAUUCAGAGACCUGAAGACGCCCCACUAGUUCUUACCUCUUGGAGGUCCCUCUACCUGCUGGGGACCAAGCUUUUACCACAUAGACCUUUAAUGCCGUGCUUUGUGGCUGCCCUCCUGCAGGGCCUGGGCCUGUAGCCCAUCUCAUUGUCCACCAUUUUGGUGGUAAUAUUGACUUAUAUGCAUGUAUCUUCCUCCCUGACCCCUGGAUAAGCAUCUGAGAGAGGCAGAAAGCUAUCAGAUGACCCUUCUUCUGGGGACCAAUUCCAUUCUGGCAGUGUGGGGGAAUGUUCAGAGGACUCUAGAAACCUCAGAGAGGUCUGCUCCUCCUGCCUGAUGGUGCUGAGUUCCUCCCAGAGCUGACAUUAAGGACAGAGGGCAUUCAGCCCUCUCCACCUCUAGCCCAAGACUCCUCAGUGAUCCAGGGGCUGGCCCCUUUCUAGGUGGCAACCCCUGGAGACGCCAAGCCCCCAUAUUAUUGAGGCUGCAAACCCUAUAACAUGCCUUUUUCUCAGAGCUCCAGAAGGAGUCCUUAAGGCUAAUGCUUCAACUAUGCCACUUGUGAAGCACUCUCCAUAUCUAGACCACAUGGAAUGUGUGUAGAACAUAUUUCUGGAAGAAGGGGGCCUAAAAUGUCAGCCACACAUCCACCGCUACUGUCUGCCACACUCUGAGAGCACACUUCCAUAGUUGCUGUGCUUCCUCUGCCAAUACUGGGCCAAACCCACUUCACCUUUACACCCUCCUGAGGUUGGCACUAUGCUUUAUGCAGAAGCCUAUUCAAAUACACCAUCUACCAGUGAGUAGCAAACGCUCUCCUCCUGUGAUGACCCAAAUCUUUAGAUGCUCAAGCCUCUUACAUCAAAUGCCACAGUAUUUACAUAUAACCUAUGUAGAUCUUACUCUGAGCUUUAAACCAUAAUGUCAGUGCUAUGGAAAUACCUCUGUGGUAUCAUUUAGGGAACAGUUAAGAAAAAGUCCACACAUGCUCAGCUCAGUGCAGGUGUGAUCAUUUUUCGUAACUUCCCACCUGCAUUUGGCAGAGUCCGUGGACGAGGAACCAGCAGACAUGGGGGGUUGCCUAUAUACUAACCAUCAUUGCUUCUGCUGGUAACUACCUGGGUGGAUGGGUGUUCUCAAAGGGCUGUCUCUUCAUUUCUAUCUCUAAAAUAACCAAAAGCUUGAAGAGAAAUAACCAAAACCUUGAAGAGAAGGCUGGGUUCUCUCCAUCUGGUGUGAUCUGCAGUUUGCCACAGCACUGCAUACCCAGCUGCUCUUUAUUUUUUGACUCUGGAGACUCUCCUAUGAAGAACUUGGUGGGCCCCAAGGACCUUCCAUCCCUUAGCAGCUGUGCCUGGGGUCAAGGUGACAUCCAGGCUUCAACUGACUAGGGACCAAGAAAGGUG
rnacentral:lncRNA from 1 species